UUGGAGGGCAAGUCUGGUGCCAGCAGCCGCGGUAAUUCCAGCUCCAAUAGCGUGUAUUAAAGUUGUUGCAGUUAAAAAGCUCGUAGUUGAAUUUCGGGAUUAGUACGCUGGUCGUGCCUUCGGUACGUACUGGUGUUACUGAUUUCUACCUUCUGACGAACCAUCAUGUCAUUAGUUUGGUGUGGUGGGGAAUCAGGACUGUUACUUUGAAAAAAUUAGAGUGUUUAAAGCAGGCUCGCGCUUGAAUACAUUAGCAUGGAAUAAUGAAAUAGGACGUUGAUCCUAUUUUGUUGGUUUCUAGGAUUGACGUAAUGAUUAAUAGGGAUAGUUGGGGGCAUUAGUAUUCAAUUGUCAGAGGUGAAAUUCUUGGAUUUAUUGAAGACUAACUACUGCGAAAGCAUUUGCCAAGGAUGUUUUCAUUAAUCAAGAACGAAAGUUAGGGGAUCGAAGACGAUCAGAUACCGUCGUAGUCUUAACCAUAAACUAUGCCGACUAGGGAUCGGAUGAUGUUAUUUUUAAUGACUCAUUCGGCGCCUUACGGGAAAC
rnacentral:rRNA from 1 species